AUUAAAUGUGUAAAUGAAGUCACAUCAGGUUUCUAUGAUUAGAACUACCCAUUGCCUUCCCUCUCUCGCACAAGGAAGCCGGGAUGUGAACGAUGAUGCAGCAGCCCACAAGUCUAUGCCAUCCUUGCCAGACCCCUGUACCCCUACCCAAUCUGAUCUGCCCAGUAAGGCUCUUGCAUAUCUAACUUGAAAAUACUCCAGGACACACAAACUACUCCACAAACAUUUAUUGGUCAGCUCUACAGCAGGAACUCUGCAGGGCCUGGGGUCAGACCUGCCCAAGCAUACCUACCACAUCUAAGGAGAUUCACUUUUUAAUAGUUGGAAGUGCAAGGCGGGGCACCGAGAGGAGAACCCAGGGGUUAGAAAUCAAAGAUGCGGAGCCCACGGGUACGGCUGGGGAACGAUGCUCACAGAAGUCCUUUAGGAAAGCGUCGUGGAAGUGCAGAUGAUGCAACAAUAUUAUCUGAUGUCACAGUUAUAAGAUAUGUUCUCAGUAAUGUCUUCUCUGCCUUAAUACAUGAUCGCACGCAAAGAGCUGUUUGAAAACGCUAGGUUUCUAGCCACCAAGCUCAUCUUAUUUGAACUUGCAAGUAUUUCUAAAGUCUAAUAUCCAUUUUCUUGCUUUCAUAAUUGUAAUAGACUCAACAAGAUCGAACCUUUUCUUUCGUGACUUCAAAUGAUAAAGUGCCCAGGGCCGUGUUUCUGCAAGCCAGGCUAUGCUAUGCUGAUGCUUUCCCAUGGUGUCGAUCUCCAUGCUCCCACCCCAUCAUUACCCAGAGUGAGCCUUCUCAGACUGGAGUCACACACAUGGACAAGUCGUCCUUGAUGCCUGGGCAGGAACAGGCACAUAAAAGCAUUUCUAAACAGCCA
rnacentral:sRNA from 1 species